rnacentral:rRNA from 1 species
AGUGAACGCUGGCGGUAGGCCUAACACAUGCAAGUCGAACGGCAGCACAGUAAGAGCUUGCUCUUACGGGUGGCGAGUGGCGGACGGGUGAGGAAUACAUCGGAAUCUACUUUUUCGUGGGGGAUAACGUAGGGAAACUUACGCUAAUACCGCAUACGACCUACGGGUGAAAGCAGGGGAUCUUCGGACCUUGCGCGAUUGAAUGAGCCGAUGUCGGAUUAGCUAGUUGGCGGGGUAAAGGCCCACCAAGGCGACGAUCCGUAGCUGGUCUGAGAGGAUGAUCAGCCACACUGGAACUGAGACACGGUCCAGACUCCUACGGGAGGCAGCAGUGGGGAAUAGUGGGCAAUGGGCGCAAGCCUGAUCCAGCCAUACCGCGUGGGUGAAGAAGGCCUUCGGGUUGUAAAGCCCUUUUGUUGGGAAAGAAAAGCAGCAGGUUAAUACCCCGCUGUUCUGACGGUACCCAAAGAAUAAGCACCGGCUAACUUCG